rnacentral:SRP_RNA from 1 species
GCCCUUGCGGGCGUGGUGGUGCGCGCCCGUAGUUCCAGCCACUCUGGAGGCUGAGGCAGGAGGAUCGCUUGAGCCCAGGAGUUCUGGGAUGUAGUGCGCUAUGCCCAUCGGCAUCCACACUAGGUUCGGCAUCAAUAUGGUGACCUCCCAGGAGCGGGGGACCACCAGGUUGCCUAAGGAGGGGUGAACCGGCCCAGGUCGGAAACGGAACAGGUCAAAACUCCUGUGCUGAUCAGUAGUAGGAUUGCGCCUAUGAAUAGUCACUACACUCCCUGCCUGGGCAACAUAGUGAGAUCUCGUCUCUA